rnacentral:rRNA from 1 species
UAAGGAAUAUUGGUCAAUGGACGCAAGUCUGAACCAGCCAUGCCGCGUGAAGGAUGAAGGUCCUCUGGAUUGUAAACUUCUUUUAUCUGGGACGAAAACGGGAUUUUUAUCUCAAUUGACGGUACCAGAGGAAUAAGCACCGGCUAACUCCGUGCCAGCAGCCGCGGUAAUACGGAGGGUGCGAGCGUUAUCCGGAUUUACUGGGUUUAAAGGGUGCGUAGGUGGGCUUAUAAGUCAGUGGUGAAAUCUCCGAGCUUAACUUGGAAACUGCCGUUGAUACUAUAGGUCUUGAAUUAUCUGGAGGUAAGCGGAAUAUGUCAUGUAGCGGUGAAAUGCUUAGAUAUGACAUAGAACACCAAUUGUGAAGGCAGCUUACUACAUAUAAAUUGACGCUGAGGCACGAAAGCGUGGGGAUCAAACA